rnacentral:misc_RNA from 1 species
CAGAGUUAUACAAGACUCCUAAACCAUUGUGAACCUACCUCUAACCGUUGCUUCGGCGGCGGCCCAGACGGCCCCCCUGUCCCCCCGGGCGCCCCGCCAGAGGACCCUAACUCUUGACUUAUAAUGUCCUCUCUGAGUAAUUCUUACUGCAAUAAUUCA